CUCAUUUUCUCUUGCCGCCACUGUGUAAGAAGUGCCUUUUGUCUCCCUCCGUGAUUCUGAGGCCUCCCCAGCCAUGUGGAACUAUGGAGCACCUGGCCAGCUGUCUCAUUUUAAAUCAUAUACCAAGCAUGACCUGAGUGUAAUCUCUAACAUGAAUCACAGCUUCUGCCUCAUUGGUUUGCCAGAACCGCAGGCACAAAUGGAUGAGAGGAGACACCUAUGAACAUGGAGCCAGAAUACCCCAAUUGCUGAAACACCAGUUCAGAGAGGAGUGAGCUUGAGAAAGAGUCAGGUUUAGUGUCCCACGGAAAGAGACCAGACCUGGAAAAGACAGAGUCAAAGCUGGGUGAGCAGGCCUUCGAAGGGCGUGGCUCAGCAAAGAUAAUCCAUAUUGUAGUGCAAGAGGAUUCUUGUGGAAUAUGUUUUACCAGAAUUAAACCAAAAAUGCCAAAUGAUCCCUAACUGGAAUAAAUCUCACCACAUUACCUGGGGAGAGGUGUCAUUUGGAUGUGAGGAUAGUUAUGAAAAUACUGAGCAGAGCAGAUGAGGAUAGGCCAUCAACAAUUCACAUUAAAUGAGAUUACUUUUUAGUAGGACUAAGCCAAAGCAUUUCCACUAAGCACCCAGAGACCAGCCCUAAAGACUCAAGAAUAAGAGAAAAUGAUGUAACUGCAGAUGGAAGGACCACUGAGGACCACAUCACUGCAGACCCAGGGACCACCGAGGACUCUGUCACUGCAGACCCAGGGACCACUGAGGACAAUGUGACUGUGGACCCAGGGACCACCGAGGGCUCUGUCACUGCAGACCCAGCGACCACCAAGGACUAUGUGUCUGCAGACCCAGGG
rnacentral:lncRNA from 1 species